rfam:Capnocytophaga canimorsus Cc5, complete genome.
CGCGAGUGGAGACCAGAAACCAUCAGAAAAAACGGGGCGAAACCGAAAAGCCUUAUGAGUAGGAAAAAU